rnacentral:lncRNA from 1 species
UUGUGUCACAUAGCUGCCCUUCCCUACUUCUCAGCCCUCCAAAAGGCACAAUGUCUUCCAUCAGGCAAAAGUGACACCACAACAUUCAUUAUAGGAAGUAAGAGACAUUCAUCACUGGAAUAUUUUAGCAAAUGAAUCACAACAGACUGAUAGCAUAACUCAUGUUCUAAGGCCAAGAACAAGAAUUGCAUAGUUUAUUUUAAGACAGCAGAAGAGUAAAAAACAGAUUGAAAAACAUAUGAUACCCUCUCCAGCUCAGAGCUCUACAAACAGCAGUGGCGUUUGCAAAGUUCUAUGUAUCUUCUCAAAUGUGGUUUCAGUUUUAAUGUGUGUUGACAUCUUUGUGUGCAGAACUAACUGGAGGAACAACAGUUUGUGCUUUUUUUCCCUUCUUGCUACAAGGGUGAGAACAGGGAAAGAACCAAACGAUCUGUGUUUACUUUGAGCAGCCAUACACCAUGCAUGGACACUAAGCUUCUUACUGCUUCUGAUUAGUGACCUCAAUUGAGACUCAUUGCUCAUUGCAAAGACUGCUAAUGGAUUGUUUGAGCCUGAAUGUGUUAGGAUGGAAUAUUUCUUCUUCUCAGAUUCAAGGCCAGUUUUUUUCCACCCCAAGUCCAUUCUACCCAGAGUUCUAGAUGAUGAUGGUCAGGUUAUUCAAGAUAAUGAUUAUGUUUUCUAGAUGAUUUAAAAUGAAGUUCAACUUUUAUUAUCUUCCCUAUAAUGAUAUUUGUAGUCUUUAUGUUCAAUAACAAGCUGUCAGGCUGCCUCAGUUUAAGCCAAGGCAUUUUCUUAUCAAAACCCAUCACAGAAAAAGAUACAAUCAUGAAACCACAGAUUCUUGUAGCUCUUCACAGUAAACUUUAACUAUGAAUAACCUCUUGGAUUAUUAGCCGAUUGUGAUUACAUUUAUAUUAUUUGCUCACAUGCUUUGUCACUUUAGAGCCCUGAAAACCCUGUUCAUUGUUGCUAGGAGAUGGGUGGCUAUGGCAACAGUGUGGGUCAGAGCCAGAUGGAAUGCCUAAAGCAUAAUCAGGUUUAGGCUUUUUUUUGAUCUCCAAAUGACUCCAUGGCAGUCCUGAGCACGGAAGCCCCAAAUCACUGCCUCUUCAGCUUGUUUCAAAAGACUGAGUCUCACACUGUCACCCGGGCUGGAGUGCAGUAGUGUGAUCUUGGUUCACUGCAACCACCGCCUCCCAGGUUCAAGCAAUUCUUCUGCCUCAGCUUCCUGAGUAGCUGGGAUUACAGGAGCCAGCCACCACACCCAGACAUAUUCCUUGAAGGUAGAAUCACUGUCAGCAGAGUCCUUGCCAGGAACGACUUUCCAGUGAAGGAGACAAUGGAAAUUUGGACAACAUUUUGAAAACCACUAACAGUAACAACGUGUUAAUAAUAAUUAAAACAUUAAGAUGAAGAAGACAAAGAAGGAGAAAUAUGAAGGGAUUGCUAAUUGCUGGUGUUCUGCAUUUGUUUUCUUAUUUAAUCCUCAUCAUAACCUUAUGAGGUGUUUCUCUCGGGAAAAGAGAGAAAUUGUUGGCAGAAAAUAAUGAAAACACAAGGACUUGUGCUAUGUGCUGAAAGAAUUGCUCCUGAAACGAUAAAGGUGAAAUGCAGAUAAAGACAAUCAAGAUACAGCCUUUUUUAAAAAAUUAUUUCCAUUCCAGUCCUAUCCAUCCUGGCUAUAAAGUGACUCUCAACCCAAAGAUCUGGAAACUCCAGUUAAAUAAUGCACAUUUAAUUAUUUUGGUGCCCUUUUGGUAUCUAAUGCAUGCUAUAGAUGAUUGCACUGUCAUUUUAACACUGAGAGGUACAAAAUAAUAGGUCCAUUUUCAAAAGACGUGGCCUUAACAGAACUAGUAUUUUUACUUUUAGUAUCCAAAGUACUAGAAUAAAGGAAACUGCUAAAUGUAACGUAAAGUGGAAAUGCACAUACAUUUAGUCAUUGCAAGCACUAUGUCAUAUAAAAGCUUAGUUAAAUGCUGCAUUUUAGCAGAUUAGCCUUUCCCACCUGAAAUAGUGUCUUAGUUCAUUUGUGUGGCUAUAACAGAAUAGCACCAGUGAGGUAAUUUAUGAAGAACUAAAAUUUGUCUCUCACAGUUCUGAAGGCUAGGAAGUCUAAGAUCAAGGUGUCAGCAACUUGCAUGGACUUUCUUGCUGCAUUCUCACAGGCAGAAAAGGCAGAAGGGCAAGAAAGGAAAAGUUUUAUCCUCACAUGGCAGAAAGGUAGAUGAGA